UACGAAGGGGGCUAGCGUUGCUCGGAAUCACUGGGCGUAAAGCGCACGUAGGCGGAUCGUUAAGUCGGAGGUGAAAUCCUGGAGCUCAACUCCAGAACUGCCUUCGAUACUGGCGAUCUUGGAGUCCGGGAGAGGUGAGUGGAACUCCGAGUGUAGAGGUGAAAUUCGUAGAUAUUCGGAAGAACACCAGUGGCGAAGGCGGUUGCCUGGAGCUUUGCUGACGCUGAUGCGCGAAAGCGUGGGGAGCGAUCCGG
rnacentral:rRNA from 1 species